AUCUACGGCCAUGCUGCCCUGAACGUGCCCAAUCCCAUCUGAUCUCGGAAGUUAAGCAGGGUCGGGCCUGGUUAGUACUUGGACGGGAGACCACCCAGGAAGACCAGGUGCUGUAGGCA
rnacentral:rRNA from 1 species